GGAAACCGAGUCUUAACCGGGCGUUAAGUUGCAGGGUAUAGACCCGAAACCCGGUGAUCUAGCCAUGGGCAGGUUGAAGGUUGGGUAACACUAACUGGAGGACCGAACCGACUAAUGUUGAAAAAUUAGCGGAUGACCUGUGGCUGGGGGUGAAAGGCCAAUCAAACCGGGAGAUAGCUGGUUCUCCCCGAAAGCUAUUUAGGUAGCGCCUCGUGAAUUCAUCUCCGGGGGUAGAGCACUGUUUCGGCUAGGGGGCCAUCCCGGCUUACCAACCCGAUGCAAACUGCGAAUACCGGAGAAUGUUAUCACGGGAGACACACGGCGGGUGCUAACGUCCGUCGUGAAGAGGGAAACAACCCAGACCGCCAGCUAAGGUCCCAAAGUCAUGGUUAAGUGGGAAACGAUGUGGGAAGGCCCAGACAGCCAGGAUGUUGGCUUAGAAGCAGCCAUCAUUUAAAGAAAGCGUAAUAGCUCACUGGUCGAGUCGGCCUGCGCGGAAGAUGUAACGGGGCUAAACCAUGCACCGAAGCUGCGGCAGCGACGCUUAUGCGUUGUUGGGUAGGGGAGCGUUCUGUAAGCCUGUGAAGGUGGCCUGUGAGGGUUGCUGGAGGUAUCAGAAGUGCGAAUGCUGACAUAAGUAACGAUAAAGCGGGUGAAAAGCCCGCUCGCCGGAAGACCAAGGGUUCCUGUCCAACGUUAAUCGGGGCAGGGUGAGUCGACCCCUAAGGCGAGGCCGAAAGGCGUAGUCGAUGGGAAACGGGUUAAUAUUCCCGUACUUGGUGUUACUGCGAAGGGGGGACGGAGAAGGCUAUGUUGGCCGGGCGACGGUUGUCCCGGUUUAAGCGUGUAGGUGUGUGUUCCAGGUAAAUCCGGUUCACUUUAACACUGAGGCGUGACGACGAGGCACUACGGUGCUGAAGCAACAAAUGCCCUGCUUCCAGGAAAAGCCUCUAAGCAUCAGGUAACAUCAAAUCGUACCCCAAACCGACACAGGUGGUCAGGUAGAGAAUACCAAGGCGCUUGAGAGAACUCGGGUGAAGGAACUAGGCAAAAUGGUGCCGUAACUUCGGGAGAAGGCACGCUGACACGUAGGUGAAGUGAUUUACUCAUGGAGCUGAAGUCAGUCGAAGAUACCAGCUGGCUGCAACUGUUUAUUAAAAACACAGCACUGUGCAAACACGAAAGUGGACGUAUACGGUGUGACGCCUGCCCGGUGCCGGAAGGUUAAUUGAUGGGGUCAGCGCAAGCGAAGCUCCUGAUCGAAGCCCCGGUAAACGGCGGCCGUAACUAUAACGGUCCUAAGGUAGCGAAAUUCCUUGUCGGGUAAGUUCCGACCUGCACGAAUGGCGUAAUGAUGGCCAGGCUGUCUCCACCCGAGACUCAGUGAAAUUGAACUCGCUGUGAAGAUGCAGUGUACCCGCGGCAAGACGGAAAGACCCCGUGAACCUUUACUAUAGCUUGACACUGAACAUUGAGCCUUGAUGUGUAGGAUAGGUGGGAGGCUUUGAAGUGUGGACGCCAGUCUGCAUGGAGCCGACCUUGAAAUACCACCCUUUAAUGUUUGAUGUUCUAACGUGGACCCGUUACCCGGGUUGCGGACAGUGUCUGGUGGGUAGUUUGACUGGGGCGGUCUCCUCCUAAAGAGUAACGGAGGAGCACGAAGGUUGGCUAAUCCUGGUCGGACAUCAGGAGGUUAGUGCAAUGGCAUAAGCCAGCUUGACUGCGAGCGUGACGGCGCGAGCAGGUGCGAAAGCAGGUCAUAGUGAUCCGGUGGUUCUGAAUGGAAGGGCCAUCGCUCAACGGAUAAAAGGUACUCCGGGGAUAACAGGCUGAUACCGCCCAAGAGUUCAUAUCGACGGCGGUGUUUGGCACCUCGAUGUCGGCUCAUCACAUCCUGGGGCUGAAGUAGGUCCCAAGGGUAUGGCUGUUCGCCAUUUAAAGUGGUACGCGAGCUGGGUUUAGAACGUCGUGAGACAGUUCGGUCCCUAUCUGCCGUGGGCGCUGGAGAACUGAGGGGGGCUGCUCCUAGUACGAGAGGACCGGAGUGGACGCAUCACUGGUGUUCGGGUUGUCAUGCCAAUGGCACUGCCCGGUAGCUAAAUGCGGAAGAGAUAAGUGCUGAAAGCAUCUAAGCACGAAACUUGCCCCGA
rnacentral:rRNA from 1 species